rnacentral:rRNA from 1 species
GGGCACCACCAGGGGGUGCAGCUGCGGCUUAUUUGACUCAACACGGGAAAUCUCACCAGGCCCGGACACCGGAAGGAUUGACAGAUUAACAGCUCUUUCUUGAUUCGGUGGGUGGUGGUGCAUGGCCGUUCUUAGUUGGUGGAGCGAUUUGUCUGGUUAAUUCCGGUAACGAACGAGACUCUAGCCUGCUAAAUAGGCGUCGCCAUUUAGGUGUGCUCGACUUCGGUCGUGCAACUCACUGGCGACGUAUUAAAAUUCUUCUUAGAGGGACCGGCGGCUUCGAGCCGCACGAGAUUGAGCAAUAACAGGUCUGUGAUGCCCUUAGAUGUCCUGGGCCGCACGCGCGCUACACUGAAGGAAUCA